GACGAACGCUGGCGGCGUGCUUAACACAUGCAAGUCGAACGAAGUGGCGAACGGGUGAGUAACGCGUAAUCAACCUGCCCUUAAGAGGGGGACAACAGUUGGAAACGACUGCUAAUAACGACUAAUGAAGGAGGGGAUUGCGUCUGAGUAGCUAGUUGGAGGGGUAAGGUCCCACCAAGGCGGUGGUCAGUAGGCGGUCUGCGAGGAGGAUCGGCCACAUUGGGACUGAGACACGGCCCAGACUCCUACGGGAGGCAGCAGUGGGGAAUCUUCCGCAAUGGACGAAAGUCUGACGGAGCAACGCCGCGUGAGUGAUGACGGCCUUCGGGUUGUAAAGCUCUGUUAAUCGGGACGCGGUACCGGAAUAGAAAGCCACGGCUAACUACGUGCCAGCAGCCGCGGUAAUUC
rnacentral:rRNA from 1 species